GUGUCUCCAAAAAAAUAUGGAAACUCGAGAAAUUCAGACAAUAAAAAUAACUGUGAAUAAUUAACUGACCCUCACACUUCUACACGCACACACGCAUACAUAAAGGCAACGAGGGUAUAGCAUAAAAAGAAAUUGAACUGUACUGGCUGAAGACGACGAUAAAGAAAGCCAACAAGCAUAAAGAACUUAUACAAAAGCAAACCAAAAAUAAAAAAUAUGCAAAGCAAACAAUAAUAAAAAAAUAAAAAUAAAAAACAAAAAAAAAAACACUGAACUUUGAAAUACAACGUUAGUACAACAAACAAUAAAGAAAAAACUUUGUCUUCGUCUGCGUUUGGACUUGGACUUGAUGGUCGUCUACUCUUCGAUGGUAGAGCAGCGUAAACGUAGAGAAGCGUAGCAUCAGUGUGCACAACACGCACGUACGGACGCGCACACACACACGCACACUCAAACUCACACAUAAAUAACAGCUUGCAGGAGCCUUCAAACGCAAACGCAUACACAAACAAGCACACCCACACACCUACAAACUCCAUUUUCUACAUCACUUCGUGCCUGUGCAUCAGCCUAGUGGCUCAGCACCUGCCUCAGCCACAGCGACGGCUUCAGUAUCAGCCUCACUGCGUCGUACUCAGUGAUUCAGUAACAGUAUCAGUAUAAACGGCUUCAACCCAAACGUCAACCUACCCGCAAUAACUAACAUCAUUGGCGUCCAACAUCAACGCGCUCAGUAGUGCUGUAGUGCUGUAGCGUCGGGUACACAACAGUAGGAGAGUUGUGAGUGCACGCGUGUAUGUGUUUAUGUGUAUUUCUGGCUGAGUGCUGUGCUCGAGUUCUGCUACUGUUGCUGCUCACUCACUCCAAAAAUCUGUUAUUGAUUUUGGAUUCAACAACAUCACGCCAUCCUCGUUCCUAGAGAGAGAGAGAGAGAGAGAGAGGCAUAGAGAUAUAGAGCGAGGCAGCCACAAUAACACAAGACAUUCCAUAGUCGAAUACAUCCAGUGAAUGAAGCAAACACAUACAUUGUGUUUGUUGAAGUGCGUGUGAGUGCGGUUUCUGAGGGUGCAACGGGCUCGGCAGAGGAUUCGAAAAACUGGAGACGUUGUCAGUGCCAAAGAAGAGAAACCAGCAGCCUGCAAAACUGAGCGACCUCGUCAUCUGUCCGACCGACUGCCCGAACAACAGCCCAAAGAAUCGCCCGCCCGGCACUAGCAGCAGUCAGCCAGGCUGCCAGUCAGCCAAACAGCCAGGAAGAUGCUGACAAUAUUGUAAACACGCAUGCUUAAAAAAGAUUUAUUUAUAUGAAAAAAUA